rnacentral:rRNA from 1 species
CGUCCCGCCGGCGACCGGCGCACGGGUGAGUAACACGUAUGCAACCUGGCCGCCACAGGGGGAUAACCCGCGGAAACGCGGCCUAAUACCCCGUGACGCCACCGGAGGGCAUCCUCCGGUGGCCAAAGGAGCGAUCCGGUGGCGGAUGGGCAUGCGGCGCAUUAGCUAGACGGCGGGGUGACGACCCACCGUGGCGACGAUGCGUAGGGGUUCUGAGAGGAAGGCCCCCCACACUGGGACUGAGACACGGCCCAGACUCCUACGGAAGGCAGCAG